rnacentral:lncRNA from 1 species
GCGCUCAAGCUACGUUCAUGGUCGUCGCGCGUGCACAUGAAACACGCCCCCCUAUCGGUUUGGCUCAUCGGCAGAAAUAUUCAUAUCGGCCGAUGCCGAUGAUGGUCAUUUUAAGCUUUUAUCGACCGAUACCGAUGUUGUGCCGAUAUUAUCGUGCAUCCCUAGAAAACAACUUCGUCGAUUUCACAUCACGUACGCUGCAAAUAUUCACAGCACGAGCAAAUAGGGAAACGAACUGCAAACUGCGAAAACACAACGGAAAUGUUUCCAGGGGGGGCCAUAAUCAGUGACGGACCCACAUCCAUCCGGUUGUCUUCGCGCUUCUGAAUGUGCGCUUUUGUUGCUUAUGGCUACAAGACGUAAGUGUUUCUCUUUUAUUAUGACAGACUUGUCGAUGUGAUCUGAUACCGUGUUUUCAACAUAUUAUCCCCAUAACGUAUUAGUCCACUGCCAACGCUGUUAGCUGGAAACUAGCUCGCUAGCUCGCUUCUGGUCACUAAAUAGAUGCAUUACUGGCGUUUGUACAUUGUUGUCCUGAUAUCUGAACUAUUUAUUUUUCAGAUUGAAAUGUUCUGUCCGUUUUGUGCUGUGCAACUGGGGGACGCUCCCAAGUUUUGCCCGUCGUGUGGUAUGAACGUGGGGUUCCUUACGGAGCGUCCAUCCACGUCAUCAAGCGUAGGCCAUGGGCCUACAGAGGAUGACCUAAUACGUGCCUACUUCAGAAAGGACCACUCCAAUGAGAUUAUUAGAGAUUUUUUGGAGUCAAAGCAUGGGAUUGUUAUGAGCCUGAAAACUCUAAAAAGAAGGCUGAAACGGUUAAACCUAAGUCGGAGAGCAAAUUACACUCCACUGGAGACUUUGAAUGCUGCCAUCACUACUGAAUUGAAUGGCUCAGGACAGCUGUUGGGCUACAGGGCUAUGUGGCAGACCCUGCGACAGAAGCAUUCACUAACAGUAAAACGAGACAAUGUCAUGCAAGCCCUCAGAUUAUUAAAUCCAACAGGAGUAUCUCUCCGUCAUAGGCGCAGAUUUGUUAGGCUAUCCUAUUGCGCCGCAGGACCCAAUCAGGUGUGGCACGUGGAUGGCUAUGACAAGCUCAAGCCCUUUGGGAUUGCCAUCAGUGGCUGCAUCGAUGGGUAUUCAAGGCGGGUUAUGUGGCUAAGUAGUGGUAGCACCAACAACGACCCUGCAGUAAUCGCUCAACAUUACCUGCAGUGUGUUUCGAGCUAUGGCCUUCCGGCUCGUCUUCGGACAGACUGUGGGACAGAAAAUGGAGACAUGGCUGCCAUCCACUGUUCUUUAAGAGAGGACCACACCGAUGAAUUUGCAGGUUCUGUCAGCCACAUGUAUGGCACUUCAACUGCCAAUCAAAGGAUUGAAAGCUGGUGGUCCUUUUUCAGGAAACAGAGGUAUGUUUUUAGAUGUUAUAGAGGGUGUGAAAUAGAAGACUUACACACAUAUACACACACAUACAUAUUUUUCAAUACUGUUUGA